rnacentral:rRNA from 1 species
GAUGAACGCUGGCGGCGUGCCUAAUACAUGCAAGUAGAACGCUGAAGGAGGAGCUUGCUCUUCUGGAUGAGUUGCGAACGGGUGAGUAACGCGUAGGUAACCUGCCUGGUAGCGGGGGAUAACUAUUGGAAACGAUAGCUAAUACCGCAUGACAACAGUUAUUGCAUGAUAACUGUUUAAAAGGGGCAACUGCUCCACUACCAGAUGGACCUGCGUUGUAUUAGCUAGUUGGUGAGGUAACGGCUCACCAAGGCGACGAUACAUAGCCGACCUGAGAGGGUGAUCGGCCACACUGGGACUGAGACACGGCCCAGACUCCUACGGGAGGCAGCAGUAGGGAAUCGUCGGCAAUAGACGGAAGUCUGACCGAGCAACGCCGCGUGAGUGAAGAAGGUUGUCGGAUCGUAAAGCUCUGUUGUAAGAGAAGAACGAGUGUGAGAGUGGAAAGUUCACACUGUGACGGUAGCUUACCAGAAAGGGACGGCUAACUACGUG